AGAUUGAACGCUGGCGGCAGGCCUAACACAUGCAAGUCGAGCGGCAGCACGGGUACUUGUACCUGGUGGCGAGCGGCGGACGGGUGAGUAAUGCCUAGGAAUCUGCCUGGUAGUGGGGGAUAACGCUCGGAAACGGACGCUAAUACCGCAUACGUCCUACGGGAGAAAGCAGGGGACCUUCGGGCCUUGCGCUAUCAGAUGAGCCUAGGUCGGAUUAGCUAGUUGGUGGGUAAUGGCUCACCAAGGCGACGACGGGUAGCCGGCCUGAGAGGGUGACCGGCCACACUGGGACUGAGACACGGCCCAGACUCCUACGGGAGGCAGCAGUGGGGAAUAUUGCACAAUGGGCGCAAGCCUGAUGCAGCAACGCCGCGUGAGGGACGAAGGCCUGGUUGUAACUACUUUAGUAGGUAAGAAGACGAGGUAGUUUAUUACUACUUCUAUGACGGUACCGUAGCAGAAAAAGACAACCGGCUAACUACGUACGCCGACG
rnacentral:rRNA from 1 species